GGAGUCUGCAACUCGACUCCACGAAGGCGGAAUCGCUAGUAAUCGCGAAUCAGCAUGUCGCGGUGAAUACGUUCCCGGGUCUUGUACACACCGCCCGUCAAAUCAUGGGAGUCGGAAGUACCCAAAGUCGCUUGGCUAACUUUUAGAGGCCGGUGCCUAAGGUAAAAUCGAUGACUGGGAUUAAGUCGUAACAAGGUAGCCGUAGGAGAACCUGCGGCUGGAUCACCUCCUUUCUAAGGA
rnacentral:rRNA from 1 species